CGCGCCGCCCGAGGCGAGCCCGUAGUAUCGCGCUUUAGCGACGGCGCCCUCCGGUGUCGGGCUCGCACACUGAAGCAUCGACGCUGUAACUAUAAAAUAUUUGAAGACUGUGGUUUUCUGUUUAGUAAUGUUAAUUUUAUUGCACAAACUACCCUACGUAAGUUUUCACGAAGAAAAGAAUUCCGAUAACUAGGAGCAAGAAAAGCGUAUCAGAACUGUCUGUAAGUACCAGGCGUUUAUACAUGUAUAGCAGGCAACUUUGCGACAGGCGGGCGGACGCGGCGCGGCUUCCGGGCGCGCUUCCUUCCGGAAAUAGGGCCCGUUCCGGGGCGCCCGGCGUCUAAUGGCGCGUGCCUCUCUUAAUAUCAUGCCACCCUGGUACCCGUGCUCGUUAGCCCCAACUUCGGUGACGACUUCACUCCCCCGGGACUUUUCGGUAUUUUCUGAAAAUUGUAGUUUGCUUUGAUUUACACGACAUUAUUGCAAAAAAGAAAAUGAAGGCCAAUUUGUUUCCACUAAUGUCUGAUAUUAAAAUUACAACGUUAGCCGUUUUACAUAAUAUGCAAAUACAGCACGUUUGGCUUGAAAACAUUG